UAAUCAAUUGUAAGGAUAAACCACAUUUUGCUUAGUCAGUCAUCAGUCAACGGACACUUGGGUUGUUUCUCCUUUUUUUGGCUAUAAUGAAUAAUGCUGCUUAUGAACAUUCCUGCCCAAUUUUUUGUAUGGACAUAUGUUUUCAAUUCUCUUGGAUAUAUCUAGAAGUGGGGUUGCUAGGCUGGCUCAAAUCUUAAAUAAACAUUUCUAAUGGUCUUCAUUCUUAUCUAUUUCCCAGGGAGCAGGUUUCUCCAUGCUCACUGAACAAAAGGGAAUGACCAACAGCAGGACCUUCUUCACCAAGUCCUGGAAAUAGCACCUGCUUUUCCAAGUCAGAUACAAAGCCCAAACACCUCCACUGUAAACAAUAUGCGGCUCCGAAGGGCUGUGGCAGACCAGGACUGGGACAAGUCACUGCAGUGACUCACAGUUAAAAGCAUCUUGCAGCUGCCAGAGGAGGUAUGUAGAAACAACCUUUUCUUAUAAACAAAGGAACAUUUCCACUUAUGUCAUUCUCCGCUUAUAACUGAUUCUUUGAAAUCUAGUCCUUCAUAGCCUGUCAAGGAUCUUGGACUAUGAUCUCUGAUGGUAUGCGUAGCAUGGAAUAAGCAGUUUACAACCUUGGAAUCCUAAAUUGCCCUUUCCCUACCAUCCACCCACUGCAGGUUCCCAUUUAUAACUGAAGUCUGCCCUCUUCUGGUCUUAGGCAGCUCAGCCCCACACCACAGAGCUGCUCGGCAGGUUUCUUACAAAAUCAUAUCUUCUCCAGGAACAUUUUGGAAAUUGCUACAAUUUAUUUAGCUAUAGCAAUAUGGAGAGCAUACAUCUGCAGAGCAUACCUCUUUUAUUUUUUACUUUUUGAUGUUUGUGGGUUUUUUCCUUUAUUCAAUAGUAGCAGGAUUGAGCCAGUUUCAGUUAUAUUUAUGAGCCACUCUCAUCUAUGAUAAAUAACCAUAUUUGUGCAGUGCCUGCCCAGGCCCUUCUGCUCCUACUGACUCCUGAGUCACUAAAAUACUUUCCUAUGGUAGGAGUGGACAAGAGCUGUUCGAGACAGGAGGUACUGCAAUUUACAGGCUGUCAGCUGUCCAGUAACUUUCCAGAGGUGGUUUGUAGACUGAGUGAUUUUCCAGGCACAGGAUGGGCUCAUAGAUUCAGAGACACGGCCUCAGUGAUCUCAUGCCCCAGGAACAUGAUAGUGUGUUGUCCAGAGUUACUUCUGGUGGCCUCUCAGAUCUUGAACUACCAGACAAUCAAAUCCAUGAUUGAUGGCACCAAGGGAACAACCAAAAGGAACUGAUGUACAAAGGAGCCUGCUCAAUCCAAUGAAGUAAAAACAUUAGCUGCUACUUUUGAGAAGACUUAAGCUGAUGCCUUGCUGCUGCUGCUGCUGCUGCUGCUGCUGCUGCUAAGUCACUUCAGUCGUGUCCAACUCUGUGCGACCCCGUAGACAGCUGCCCACCAGGCUCUCCCGUCCCUGGGAUUCUCCAGGCAAGAACACUGGAGUGGGUUGCCAUUUCCUUCUCCAAUGCAUGAAAGUGAAAAGUGAAAGUGAAGUCACUCAGUCGUGUCCGACCUUCAGCGACCCCAUGGACUGCAGCCUUCCAGGCUCCUCCGUCCAUGGGAUUUUCCAGGCAAGAGUACUGGAGUGGGGUGCCAUUGCCUUCUCCAAAGCUCAUGCCUUACAUUGAGUCAUUUCUGGAUGAGGCUGUCAUAUGUCACAUUCCUAGACCCACAUUCUAGGAACCAAGUCAUUACUUUUGGGCUCCUCUGUUGACAUAAAUUCUUCCCCUUCAGCCGGAUCUGGAAUAUUUGGCACCAACAACAAACCUGGGCACCCAUGUGGCUCCAGAGCCACAGUUCUUUCUGUGUUGACUCUUCUGUGAAUGCUGGUCCAAGUCCCAGAGGUGAACUGUUAUCCUGGUUUCCCCUCAUAAGUUCUGACUUAUUGUCCUGCCUGUAUUUCUGCUUCUUCCUCUAGCACUAGGUACUCUCCCCAGCUUCAUCCAUCCUUGUCCCUUCUUUCUGCCAGCUGAAGUUACCUGCCGUGCCAGGCCACGGAAUGAUUCUGUCAUAGGACAGGCACACUUGCCUUAUUGGACACUCAUAUUGUUUCCUGUUCACUUAAGUCGGGGCUUCCCUGGUAGCUCACAUGGUAAAGAAUCUGCCUGCAAAUGCAGGAGACCCAGGUUCAAUCCUUGGGUCUGGAAGUUCCCCUGGAGAAGGGAAUGGCAGCUCAGUCUUGUAUUCUUCCCUGCAGAAUUCCGUGGACAGAGGAGCCUGGCAGGUUACAGUCCAUGGGGUCCCAAAGAGUCAGACACAACUGAGCAACUAACAACUUCA
ensembl:lncRNA